CACAAAUGCUCUAUGAUUGCCUUCUUUAUUUAUCAGGACCAUCAUGUUAGAACUGACAGUAUUAAGUGUCCUCGUAGGAUUCUGGUACAUGCAGGAGAGAAAGCAGGAGAGAAGAGAUACUUCCAAUGUGGAUGAAAAUACUUGUUGGGAAACUUCUCUUGGACAGGAAAUAUACCGACUCCUGUUUAUAGACUUCAUUGUUGCCCUUGUUAUACAGAUGGCACUCAUUGUCUUUUUUAUUGUUACUUCACAAAAAAAACUAGAAGGUGUUCUCGCAUAUAUUCAGGAGUUCAAUGUGGCAAGAAAUACACUACAUUUAAUUUAUAACCAGACUCUUUUAUGGGCUGGCUUAUUCUUCUGUCCGCUUACACCUGUCAUUGUUCUCCUUAAGAUGGCCAUCAUAUUCUACAUACAAAAGUUUACCAUCUUAAAAUUCCUGCAACCUGAUGAACGCCCAUGGAGAGCAGCCCAGACAGAAACGGUUUUCUUUGCAUUGACAUUAGUGUCAUUGAUACUGUCUUUCUUAGGAUAUGGCUUCAUAACUGUCAGAGGUGAUGCAUCGCAUGAUUGUGGGCCUUUCAGAAAUUAUGAUCACUAUGUAGAUUUCCUUUGGGAUUUGACAAACAGCAACCAGCAGACUGUCCUGAGUGUUAUCUCAUGGAUCUUCAAGCCAGGGGUUGUAGCAGGGAUCCUGGGGAUUCUUAUCCUUUUGGUAUACUGUGCCAAAUCCAUGGCAGAAGGUCGAGCCGAGAUGAUUAACGUACUACGAAAACAGCUAGACCUAGAGAUGCGAGAUAGAGCUUUCCUUCUUCAGUUAACAGACAGAGUUUGUAGAGGAGAGUACAAACCCAUAGUUACUGGUGAAAUUCAACAUGAUGCAUCUUAUUCUUCAAAUAGAGACCUACACAGCUUGACACAAAGAGGAUCAUUUGUGUUUACUGAGAGCAAAGGCUAUCGCAACAACACUGAUCUCAAUGAUGGACACUUCUAUGGAUCCAUAGGAUCAGUUGGAGAGUCUCUGCUCUAGUUGUUAAAAUAUGGAACAGCUGACUUCUGCAACAGUAUUUAUUAUGCAUGAUACCACAUACCAAAGCCUUUUGACAUAGUGCCUAGUCAUACAUUUUUUCAAUUACUGGUUUUAAAGAAUUAGGAAAUUUAAUUGAUCAAGGUAUCCUCUUAGAUUCUGGACAUGUAGAUAUUUUAUGCAGUUAUUUACAUUCUGAAAUCAGGCAGAUUUUAUAUUUCCUUUAACACUCUCUGGACGGGUGGUACAGUACUGUACUGCUCAUUCAAAAGCCCAGUGGCCGGGCGGCACAGUAUUGUGCCAGCCAUUUAAUUGAUUUAGGCCUAAUAAUUCGAAAGCCCCGGCAUUGUGACAUUCAAGGCUAGAAUGCCCCCGUCGUGAGUGGGUUAAUUCACUUCUUUUUUUCUUCUUUAUUCCUCAUGCUGAGCAUAUUCACAAAGUGAAUGAAUGUGGACCUGGGAAGAUGUAGCUAAUUAGUUGAUUAUCUUAUAACCCUUAAAUGCCCAAGCCUCCUGGCUGGGUGAAACUGCCCAGUCCUGGGGAAAAUGAGUCGAGAUAUUUUGUUUUAGAUGCUAUAAUAUUUCAAAUAAGGCAGAUAUCCUUGCAUAAAUGUCAUGCUGACACCACAUUUAAAGGGGACCUUCAUGUUCAAAAGGCCAAAUAAGGUUCUAGUGCAAAACAACAAAUUCCAAAAGAAUUUUUACGUUUUUCCUAACAUUUGUUACAAUGUCUACUUUUGGCAUGUUUCUAACAUAUCCCUCACUUUUUUGGCUAGUAUAUAGGACAAAGAAUUUGUUACAAGUGUGAAGCAGUUACAAGAAGAAAGAGAGUGAGUAUAUAUACAUAUAUAUAUAUAUAUAUAUAUAUAUAUAUAU
rnacentral:misc_RNA from 1 species